UACGGAGGAUGCAAGCGUUAUCCGGAAUGAUUGGGCGUAAAGCGUCCGCAGGUGGCAAUGUAAGUCUGCUGUCAAAGCGUCUGGCUCAACCAGAUAAAGGCAGUGGAAACUACAUAGCUAGAGUAAGGUAGGGGUAGAGGGAAUUCCAGGUGUAGCGGUGAAAUGCGUAGAUAUCUGGAGGAACACCGGUGGCGAAGGCGGCGUCCUGGACCAACACUGACACUGAUGAGCGAAAGCCAGGGGAGCAAACGGG
rnacentral:rRNA from 1 species